rnacentral:lncRNA from 10 species
UCAGGAGGCUGAAGCAGGAGGAUUACUUGAGCCCAGGAGAUCGAGGCAGCAGUGAGCCGUGAUUGUGUCACUGCACUCCAGCCUGGGUAACAGAGUUAGACCCUGUCCUCCCCACCCCCAGAAAAAAAAGUAGUUUUAAAAAUAGGACCAGAAUUUUAUGUUUUAAAAAUAGAGAAUUAUAUUUUAAAUUUUAUAUAUUAUUUUAUUGUAAUUGAUCUUAUCA